rnacentral:misc_RNA from 1 species
UCCGAGUUGUCCCCGGCAGUCCCCUUAGAGUCCCCGGCAUUACCCGCUGGCAACUAAGGACAGGGGUUGCGCUCGUUGCGGCACUUAAGCCAACACCUCACGGCACGAGCUGAAGACAGCCAUGCAGCACCUGUGCUGGCCCCUUGCGGACACGGGCUUUCACCCGCUUUAACCAGCAUGUCAAGCCCAGGUAAGGUUCUUCGCGUCUCAUCGAAUUAAGCCACAUGCUCCACCGCUUGUGCGGGUCCCCGUCAAUUCCUUUGAGUUUCAGUCUUGAGACCGUACUCCCCAGGCGGAAUGCUUAAAGCGUUAGCGACGGCACCCGGGGACUAUAUAACCCCAGACACCAAGCAUUCAUCGUUUAAGGCUAGGACUAC